GAAGAAGAAAGAGCUCAAAGCAUCCAUGUCUUUGACGUUAAGGGAACGAGACCUGAUGAGGACUCCUUUAACUCUCGCCUGCAUGAAGAUGACGACCUCUCCUGCUGAUGAGUCCACUCUCCCCAUCAUCUGUCUCACUGUGCAAGGAGAACCUGAACUUGAGAUCCUGUGUGCCAACCAAAGCCAGCCAAAUGGAUGCUGUUAAUGGAGACCUGACUUCACCACCACCUUGACUGUCCUCUUCACCAUUGAAGAACACAAAGCAGCAGUGGAGGAUGAAGAUGAAAUCACCCAGCUCCUGACCUGCAAGGAUCCAAAGCCUCUUAGCUCAGUGGACUUGUGUUGCAAAGUGGACUGAGGUGGGCUUUUGGACUCUUUACAGACAAGUACACAUGCACAAUUUUAAAGACUCUAAACAUGCCUGCCGACACCUUCCUGGUGACUUAACGUCUCCCGCAGUUGAAUAUCUAUGUUUAGAUUACCCAAGAGUGUUUUUGUUUCAAAGAAGUUACAGUGUCUAGUAUAUUGUCAAGUUCAGUGAUUUGAUUUGUUUUUUAGUUUUAGUGGGUUUAAGAAAUGGCAUCAGUAUUUCUUUUCAUGAGGAUUUGUUUAAACUGUCGCUACAGAUUUAAACAAGCUUUUUACAUAUUGGAUUUUUAAUGUUGUCUUUGUAACAUUUGUUAAUGUUUGUAAUAUGUAGCCUACAUUUGAAGUCUGUUAACCUUGUGGGUUACAGAAUGAUUUUUAGAGGACAGAAAGUUGCACAUGGUCCUUGCUACUUUUAUGGCUAAAGGGGACAUGGUAGAAUGUUUCCAGAAAUUAUAAGAACUGAAAACACUGAAAAGAAAAAAUUCUUAUUUACUGUGUUAAGUUGAUGUCCAUGCAGUCUAAGUGUUUUCUUCUAGUACUACUUCACAUGAAAAGCUUCUUACUGGUGUACCACUGUGUGGCUUUUAUUAUAAAGCACCUACAGGAAACGCAAAACUGACUGCACUGGUGCUAUUGGUCAGCAAAUAUUUGUUUACACAGUAAAAUGUUUUGUGCUGUUUGGUCAGCAGAUCAGAUUUAUAUAUUGCAAAGGAGGAUUGGUAAAAGAGGAAACAGCCACAGUGAAUUGAUAGACCAUUUGCACUGUGCAUCACAGAUAUAAUUGCAGCAGUUCACUAUUCAGCAGGGGUUUCCCUGCUAUAAAGAAAAAGGCCAUUAGAU